CAUGAGCAGCAGUGUUUUAUCAGAAAUAAAGAUGAUCUGAUAAAACACACACUGCUAGUGUUUUAAUUCUAGUAAGUUCAUUGGCGAAGUAACUUUCAAAAAAUUCGUUGUGUAUGUCGAGAAAAUCAUAGUUAAAGUUUAUGUAAAUCAAGCAGGGUUGGUAAGUUAGAAGAAUAAUUAGGCCAAAUCGUUAUUAGUGCCGUUUAGAAAACAAAGAA